rnacentral:rRNA from 1 species
UACGUAGGAUGCAAGCGUUGUCCGGAUUUAUUGGGCGUAAAGAGUUCGUAGGCGGUUUGUUAAGUCUGAUGUUAAAUAUCGGGGCUCAACCUCGGGAGUGCAUUGGAUACUGGCGGACUGGAGUGUGGUAGAGGAUAGUGGAAUUCCCAGUGUAGCGGUGGAAUGCGUAGAUAUCGGGAGGAACACCAGUGGCGAAGGCGGUUGCCUGGGGCGUUGCUGACGCUGAGGCGCGAAAGCGUGGGGAGCGAUCAGG